rnacentral:rRNA from 1 species
AUUGAACGCUGGCGGCAGGCCUAACACAUGCAAGUCGAACGGCAGCACAGAGAGCUUGCUCUCGGGUGGCGAGUGGCGGACGGGUGAGUAAUGUCUGGGAAACUGCCUGAUGGAGGGGGAUAACUACUGGAAACGGUAGCUAAUACCGCAUAAUGUCGCAAGACCAAAGUGGGGGACCUUCGGGCCUCACACCAUCGGAUGUGCCCAGAUGGGAUUAGCUAGCAGGCAGGGUAAUGGCCUACCUGGGCGACGAUCCCUAGCUGGUCUGAGAGGAUGACCAGCCACACUGGAACUGAGACACGGUGCAGACUCCUACGGGAGGCAGCAGUGGGGAGUAUUGCACAAUGGGCGCAAGCCUGAUGCAGCCAUGCCGCGUGUAUGAAGAAGGCCUUCGGGUUGUAAAGUACUUUCAGCGAGGAGGAAGGCAUUGCGGUUAAUAACCGCAGUGAUUGACGUUACUCGCAGAAGAAGCACCGGCUAACUCCGUGCCAGCCGCCGCGGUAAGAC